UGUCCUAAACAUAUGGCUUGAAAGUAUCUGACCUCAUGUCAUUUCAGAAGCUAAUCAGGGACAGGCUUAGAUAACAUGUGGAUAGGAGAUUGCCUUGGAAUAUUUGGCAUUGCAU
rnacentral:rRNA from 1 species